CUGGCCUGAAACACAGAGCAUGUUUUGGGUAAAAGAAAUCUGUCUUUACAUGUUCUCCAUCAUACUGCAUGUUAAAGAUAUGUACUUGAGAUCAAAACCAACAGUACUAUAAUUGCAUAGACUGAAAGCUUUCCAUACUUGUAGAAUUCCUUCCGUUAAGUGCAGGAGAUUCCUCUUCACUGACAAAAGUGAUGCUUUAGAAUAGAAAACAUGUCAUUGGCAAGUUUUAAUAAAAAGCCUGCUUUGUCCAACUUCUAAGUACUUGCAAGUAGUUCUAAUUGCCAAGUUGCUGCUCACAAGCAAAAUCAGCAAAAGGAAUUUGACAGAUAUUGAUUAAAACAUUUGCAAUUUGGCAGUGGUUCCAUUCUCCCAAAUACAUUUCUGCAUGCGAUGCUGUGAGAAGAAACACCAUAUUUGCUAGAUGUGACGGCUGAAGUAAAAAUCUUGGCUGGGAGAAGCAAGUUUUCCACUCAGCGAGCUGAGAGGAAGCAGCUAUUAGCAGUAUGCCUUUAGCACCGCUGCUCACUGUAGCAGCACACAUGUGAUUUCACAAAACAUGUUGCAACAUAAGCCAGGCUCAAGUAGUCUUUGAAGCAGGACUACACAGCAGAUCUUAGGGACGCUGCUGAAUUUUGGAAGAGCAGAGGAUUUGUCAUGCUUCUGAUUAGGGAUAGUCUAGUAUGUGAUCUGACAAGAGGAAGCUAAUUUGCUUCAGACCUGUACUCUUCCCCUUGCCGUACAUGUGACUUAGCAGUAUUUGCCAUGCUAGGGUCUAAAGGUGUCUUGCUUUGAGAGAUGAAGUUCAAGAAAGCAAUAAUUACCAGGUAGAGUUGACAGCUCAGGGAAAAAAACCCAGUCUUUCAUUUGCAACUUUUUCAGAGACUUUAUUAAGUACCAUGGAAGAAACCAUGAUUUCUGUGGAAGAGCUAUUUGCCCCCUGAAUGCUUUCCCUGGAAUCAGUUCACCACCCAACACGUGUCAGCCUGUGCGUUGCUCAGUCCAUAAAGGAGCUCAGCAGCCGCUGUCAUUGACAGGAGAGGAUCAAUGAUGAGAGUCAAGACUUGCCAGCCUAGGAGUUUACCAGUAUGUGCUGUCCUAACGUACAGCAGCGCUGUCCAUCACCACCAGCUGCCUAUAGACCUGAAAACCCCACUGGAGGCUUUGCGUGUGCUUCCUGCCAGUCAGAGCGAGCACCCACAAUGAUGAGGCAUUACUUCCUCCCCCGCCUUCCCCAGUCCAGAAGAGCUCUUCUCUUUGGUCAGAGAAACUCCUGCACUAAACAGCAUCAGAAAUUGAACCUUGUGCCUGAACUGCAGCUAAAGCAUCAACACUGCUCCCUCAGUAUGUAAAAAAUUAGAGUUAAUUUACCUCUUAAUGCCUUUGCCUCUAUCGAGCACAGCAAGAGACAGAAACUUUUAAUUGAAUAAGCAGCGGCAAAGCCUGUUUGCAGAUGAGAAAAGUGAUAUUACAAAGCCUUUACGCAUUGCGUAUUUAUACCACCAACUUCCUGCAACAGCAAGAGGUGUCUCUGGUGAGGAAGACAGAGUAGCAUAGUACAAAAGUCUCACAAAAAAUUGUUACUCUAGCAUAUUUUAGACUAACUCAUUAAUUUCAUUUGUUACCGAAAUUCAUGUCAAGAAAAAAAAAACUUUUUGUAGCUUGAAAUGUUUGAUUCUUAGGCACUUUGUGUCCUUCUCCUUCAGUAAGUAGGUCAAGCUCAAAGUCUCAAGCUGCACAGGACUUGACAAUACAAAGAAUCCUUCUAACUUUAAACAGCCGAUAGAGCUGAACCUGUCCUUUACCUUCCCAUGACACUGAAGUACAUGCAGCUCUAUUUAGUGUUGCUCUUAGCAAGAUCCUAAAAAUAUCCAAGCUUCUUCUGCAGUGGGUGCAUCAUGAAGAUCUAGUGACACUUUUUAGAAGAAUAGCUUUGCCUUCUCCCCUACACUGCUACAUGGCACCUCAGAAAUGGUUUUACAUCCUUUUGAUCGCAUUUAAAUGAUUUUAUGAUAAUCUGAAUGAUUUGGGAACCUUUCAGACUGAGAAGCAAAACACAAGUGUAAAGCUGUCUUAGUAUUUUAGAGAAGAGCAAGACCAACUCAAGCAGUUCAGUAAGUCAGAUGAUUCAUAAAAUUUGGCCAAUAUGCUAUGCUGUUAAUCCACUGUACUUCCAGUAAGUUAUGUUUAGUCUCCUCUUUAAGCUGCAAUUGCUGCUGUACACCCACCCCAGAGCAUCAUCACACGGCUGAGAGAGGAAUUUAAUGAGCUGCUGCUGCAUGAUAUGACAGAAGCAAGUCAACAUAGUGAAAUGCUGAACUGAAACUGCAUCUCCCAUGCUGCAUCCACGUGACAGAGGUACAGGACCUGUCUUGUCUCCUGAACUGGACACUCCCCUUGCUCUUCUCUUACUGCACUACUUGAACUUAGAGGACAGGAUGCAACUCUUUGUCCUAAUCUAACCCUUAAGGAACUCAACAUCAGUUUUGCAUUAUUAAAAACAGGAUGGAAUUAAAGCGUGUGUUCAAGUGAGCUCUUCCUCUAGCAUAACUUCCAGCUUCAGAAAGAGGAUGAAAAGCUGCUUGAAUUACAGAGUAUGACACAGAUCUGUAACUUACAGAACUACAUAAGCAGCUUUGAAACAGAACCAAAACUCAAGUCUUUCCCCCUCGGAAGCAAAUGCCUUAACUGCAGUGGCAGUGUCCCACCUUUCUUUGCACCUGAUAAUCUGAACAUGUCUCAUGCAAACCAAAAGCCAUUUAACAGGAAGGGAGGAGCCAAGUGUCAGCAGCCUCUAGCACUUGUAGCCCGGUGGCCAUGACGCUGUUUUGGGAGGUGAAACAUGUUGGGUUUCAAGGUUUCCAGAUGAGAGAUGGAAAGCAACUGCUCUUUCAUGGUAAAGUGCUCUGCCAACUAGCUAUCUCCACUUCCCAAAGUUUCUUAUGAGACACAAAAUAUGCCCCGCUCUGUUCUUCAACGGGGCAGUGCUUUGGUCCAAGACAGUAUUUAUAGCUGUGAACUAAAUGUGGAAGAGUAGGCACUUUCUGCUAAAGUUACAUGCAUGAACAAGGAAACGGGGUAAGACAAGUCACCAGCACCGGGUUUAGUGAGCAUUCUCUGAGCUGCUGGUGGCUGUAGGUCUUGCACAGAGCUGAACUCUCUGCGUGACACAAGGAGCUGGGCACUUACGUCAGGCUUGCAAGAGUCUAGUGCUGCAAUACUGAACUUGCCCUACCUAUCGCCAUUUCUGCAUCCAGCCCAUGUUCCUUAAAGCCUGGAAGAGACUUCAAAGGCAAAUGCUGGAAGCUGCAGCAUGGUGAUUUCAAAUGGGAGCUGGCCAAGUAUCAAGAACUGUGUGACAGGCAAAAAUUCCACACUGACAGCAAACAAGCAUAAAAACUUAACAAGUUCACUGUGGCAAGUUCUUUGUGCCAACACACUAUAUUAAGGAAGGCUCUCUUUGGUUGCUCAUGCUAGAUUUCAGCCCUUCUCUCUUCCUCUAAGACUUAAACACAAAAGCUUUGCCAUUAGGUAGAAGCUACGUUAUCCAAAUCACUGUACUCGAGAACAGUAAUAUCAACACAAGAAGAUAUAUUGGCAAACUGGGUACUCAGGAUCUUACUAUGCUGCAGUAAAGAUUAUCAAUAAAAAUCACUUUUAGAGUAAAAACGUUUAAAAUUAUUCCGAUAUCAGGUACAGUAUACAAUAAGGUAAGUGUAUCUUAUUGCUAUUAGAAAACAAUUAUAGACUGCAUUCGGUUCUUAUUUGUCUCGGUGUAAAUUUGGAACAACUCCACAGGCUUGAACUGGAACAGAUGAUUUAUGCUGAGCUGAAAGAGAGCACGUGUCAAUUUUAGGGUUCGUUUAGGAACACAGCUGGAUAACAGAGUCUAGGAACUUUGAAUGACGUUGAAUGCAAACCAUUUCACAAGUUCCUGAAAUGAACCUGAACAAACUACCAGCAUUUUCAAAUAGCUUUCACUGCUACAGCCUUUUUAUUUUGAACACAAACAAGCCUUUUUUGCUGUUUGAUCACACAUGGCAGGAGAUUAAAAUAUUUUCCUGGUUGAAUGUGUUAUGCUUUGCAUCUGGGAAUGGGGUUUAAUACCUUCAGAUAUGUUUGCUAUUUGGUAUGAUUUUCUUAAUAAACUGGGCUGUUAAAAUAAUGAACGAGUCCACGGCUAGAACUGCCAUUAGGCAAGUGACCCUUUUUUUUUUUUUUCUGGAAGGCACAUUUUUAUGCAUGCAAAAGGUAACGGUUGUUGUUUUGUUUGUUCUUUAAACUCUAUCAGUCUUAACUGCAAUAACAUGCUAAAAGUAAGCUAGUAGAAAAACAAUUUGAAAAUAUGUCCAGUUUUACAGUCUUCAAGUAUCAGUCUGGUUUAAGUUUACACAGCCAAAGCUGCUGGAACAGAAAUACGGGUGCAUUCACAGGAGCAGCAUUUUACACCAGUAAAAGCAGUUUCUGCUUAUUUACCUGAAAUUACUAAAACCCGGGGGCUGCGUUUGGGCCUAGUCCCAGGCUGGUCCCAUCCCAGCAGCCACACAUAA